GGCCUUCCCACCGUGAUUGAGAGCGAUGCUGUCCGGCUCCAAAUCCCCGCGCCGCUCUGACACGAGGCUGCGUAUAAGGCAGCUUCUCACUGUCCUUCCAUUUCUCGUUUUACCUCAUUUGGUUAAACCGCACAAGCUCAGUGCUUGGAACUUCCGUUUUCUUAUCUUGAACAUCAUGUGCUGUUCCAGCUCCAGCCAGCCACCCAGGAAGGAAGCAUCCUGUUCCUUUUAAACAGAGGGCCCGGCCGGCCACAUGGCCACGCUGUUGACAAGCUCUGAUCCACACUCUGCAAUGUGACUUUGCAGCUUUUGACUGGUUUCAUGGCUUGCUUCUGGCCAAGAGAAUGAUUCUUUGCUGAUAGCGUCCCGGUUCUGAGCCCAGACCCCACCACACUUCCACUCUCUCUCCUGGAAGUCGGGCACACGGUCGGCACACAGCAGCCCAGCCCAGCCCAGCCCAGCCCAGCCCAGCCUGCUGGAGGAUGAGGGGCCACGUGAAACAGAGAUGAGCUGCCCCAGCAGAGACCAUCCCACACCAGCCAGCCUCCUGAAGAUGCUUGAAAGGGUCCAGAUGAGCUGAGCCUGGCCCAGAUUAGCAGAACCUCCAAGCUGAUCUGCUGAUCGGCGAGCAAAAAUAAAUGGUACUUGUUUUAAUCCACCAAGUUUAGGGGGUGAUUGUCACAUAGUAACUAGCAAUGAAAACAAUGACGUAAGUAAUGCUAGCAUUCCAAACCAAGUUUCUUUACUCCAAAAUCCUUUGUCUUUUAACUUCUGAUUUCUAGUGACACACUCCCAUGUUCCACACCUUACUCACUAACAUCAUCUUCUCCAAUUCCACUUUUCUCUUUCCUGUAGGUUCUAGUAGCAGGCAUUCCUGAUGGCUGGCAAAGGAUUUGGGAAUCUCAGUUGAAAAAGCCAGCAAUGGUGGCUGCAAUUCCUCCAUUGGCCAUUGGCCAGGAGUGAAUGCGUGACCCAUUUCUGAUGGUGAGGUAGAAGGCUGAGCCACCUGGAGGGCUGUGGGGAAAGAUUUCCUUUUUCUGGAGGACAGAAACACCAGAACAUACAACCUUUUUCUGACUUUUCUUGCUGCCCACCAUCUUGCAACAAUGGAGGAGGCCUACCUGAGGCUGAAGGUAACUGAGGACGGCAGAGAACAGACACCAAGCUCACCCGGAUCGCUCAGGCACCGAGACAGAGCCAUGCUUGGGAUCCAUAGUGUGUUUCCUUUGAAUUUUCCCAUUUGUUUCAGCGAGUUUGAUUUUUUUUUCUUUUUACUGGUAGCCAAAAGCAUCCUAAUGGGUAGAGUUCCAAUCAUCAGAUAAAAGGAUCCAGCCAUCUGGUUGUUGAGUCCUUUAUUCCUACAAAAACCAAAGUAAAAGUUCAGAGGACACUGAAGCCGAUUCCCAGGAGGCAGACCUCAAUUUGUGGGAGCCCUGUAUUUCUGACCCACAUCGGCUCCUUUUGGCUGACUUUAGCAGUAAGCAGCGGCCUUGGGACUCAAAGCAGGAUGACCGCAGGAUGCGGGUAAAGCAGGAAGACUUUGGGAAGUUCUGGGGAGCAUGGCUCAAAGUGCGGGCCGGAGAUCUGAGUACACAACAGAUGUUCCACGCAUGUGUGCUCUUGGGGGCGUUCUCCCUUCCACUGGUCCCAACUCUUCUUCCCCAUCCCUGGACUCCAGGAAGCACAUGGUAUGUGCCUUUAUUCAGAGAUGACCGUCAAAAUUUUUUAGCAACUGCUAUGCUCAGAUGCAGACCAAACAAAACAGAGGACCACUGCAGUGCUGGGGCAGGGGUUUGGAGGCCCCUGUUUGGGGAUCAUGGGGAAGUUGGGGCCACUGGGUGGGAAGCAGGUCCUUGAGGUGGGUUCAGGACAGAAAAGACAGAAGAUGGAUUCUGUGGGGCAAGUGGGUGGGCAGUGAGGACAGCAUGUGUUUACCUGCCUGGAGUUAGUUGCUGAAAUUUUAAUAGCUUGUUUGGCCAUACUGAGAGGCAUACCAGACAAUUCUAUUCUAAUACAUAUUCUUUUCUAUGUGCCUGUGUUUGCUCUGCUAGCUUGUGGACCCCAGAGGCCAGAGGCACUGUGAUACCCACUGAUUUGCAUAUCCCCAGCACACAGGCCAUCUCAACACAGUUGGGUGAAUAGAACAGAGUCAACAAUAUAAAUCCCCAAGACCCAUUCUCUUCAUCUAGUCCAGAUUCUGAAUAAAGAAGAAUCUGACUGGUCACAGCCAUUUUCCUCUGAAACAAUUAUUUCUUUGGAGCAGAGUUAUGGGGAGUUAAGGUGACCUCUGACAGUCCGACCUCCUUCGCCCUGAGAUAGCUCAAGAUCAAACUGUCUCACCGAGGAGAGCAGAUGGCAGAGGGAGCUGGGGGGAGAGGGCAGCCCCCUGUGUCUUGCAGGCUGUGGAGCACGCUGUGCCUCCGUCAUCAUUAGUGAUUCAAUAGUUCUCAUUUGACUGAGAAAGAGUGCGAAACCCUGCUCCAUACAACCUUGUCCUGGGAACUCCUCGGAAAAGCCAGGAAUCCCAGGACGUGGACGCUGUCUGGUUCUUGAGGGCACUGCUGUGUCCUAUUCACCUUUCUUUUCCCCAACACCAAUCCUGGCAGGGGUUCCAGGGCCAGCUGCUAGGAGCCUGAGUGAGGGAAUGAAUGAAUGAGUGAAUGAAUGAAUGGGGGCACCCUCCUUUGCAAGUAGUUUUGAAAUGAAGACAUGAAAUGAACUUUGGAGUCAUAGUAAUUUGGGUUCCCAUCCAGGUUUUGCCACUUAAAGGCUAUUGAAUUCGGGCAAACUCCUUAGUUUAGAUAAAUUUCUGUUUCUUAUGUACAAAUAGAUAUAAUAAAACCAACACCAACGGCUCACAACUCCUGUAAAGUGCCCAGUAUAACACCCAACAGUGCCUAAUGAAUUGUAGCUACUCCCCUUCUAUCAUCAUUUUCAUUUUUUUCUUCCUUUCACUUUCCUUGUUUUAAUAUUAUUAUUAUUAUUAUCAUUAUUACUAUUAUUCUUAAACUCACUACCCAGAGAUACUCUUUGAAUGUAAUAGAACUGCCUGGUUUGAGGUUUGUUCCCCUCCUCCCCCCAAAUAAUAUCUGGAUAAAUCAGCAUAAAGUUGUCUCUCUAAACAGUCUUUGCUGUCCUUUUAUGGCCAUUUCACUUGCAUCCACUAAGGGGGAAGAGCUAUUGGAAACAAGCCUAAGAAAGCAUGUAAUGUCUAAAUACAGCGGGUACCUACUUCCGGCGAUCUGCCUCCUAAUUUUCACCGGGCACUUAUGGUGUGUCAGGCACAGUAUAAAGCUCCUUACUGUUCUUAUCUCUUUCCUAAUCCCUAUCACAACCAGGGAAGUGGGUAUCAAGGUAAUCUUCAAUUUACAGAUGAGGAAAGCGAGGCUCAGAGAGGUUGAAUGAGGAGGUCAAGGGGAUGAGCGCGACAGAGCCAGCAUCAUGAGCAUGCUGGUUGGCCCCCACCUGCCAUUCCUUCCUCCCCUUGGGUUUUCAGCCAUCAGCUCCACCCCUGACUCCAAUGAAUGACUCUAAUUGGUUUAAGCCAAUUCUGGAAGUCUUAGCCUUUUUGGACAGUGAUUGGCUCAAAUAAACCAGAAUGUAGCUAAUCAGUGCAGGGCAUUCUCCUUGCUAAUCAUAUUUAAGUGGACUGACUUUUCUUUCACUGGUUGUGAGAGACCAGUUCUCCCUCUCCUUCUCUUGCUGGCCCUUCAUGAGGAAGCCCGAUUACAAUCCACAGCCAGUCUUGCAUCCUUGAGGGAACUUAGGGAAUCAGUCUGAGGAUGAAGCUGAAACAGUAGAGUGGAGAGAAGAGCCAGUGAUGUCCUUGAGCCCCUGGACCAGUCAACUCAGAAGCCUGCUCUGCCUCUGGACCAAUAUAAGCCACUAAAUUUCCUUUGCUGUUAAACUAGUUUGACUUAGUUUUUCUGUUACUUUCUGCUCAGAAGCAGUCUAAAUGAUAUGGCAAGAAUCAAACCCAGGUCUGACCCAUCACCAGUGUAUACUAUCUGUGUUACCCUCUUUUCUGUUUCUCUAGCUCAUCAUCUCGAAACUCAUAUCUUUAUCGGAAGUCUGGUAGUAUCGCUGUGUCUCAGUCAGUCUACAGCAUUUCUGGGGCAGUUAGUUUUCCUACUGGAAGGCUAAAGCCCUGGGAGGUAGCCGCUGGGCAUGUAAGGUCACUCUUUCAAAUGGGUGGCUGGAGGCCACAGAGCAAAGCUGAUGGCUAUUUGUGGAUACAAGGUAAUGAAAACCUCUUCUCGGGGUGACUCCAGCCGAGGCAGGCUUUAGAGAAGAGCAGACUUCAGUGGGGACUAGAAAAGCAAACAGACAGCUGCAAUGCCUGCUUAUGAGGCCUUGACGUAUUGAACCUGUAGAAAUGUUAGCCUCCUCUAACUACAAUCUAAUUUGUACAAGUGCUUAGAAAGAAUACUGAAUUUAUCAGAGCUUGAAGUGCAAAAUAUUAAAAAGUAAAUCACUGCUGGUAAAAUCAUAGAGCUAUCAGGAGAUCCAUUUGAAAAGCCAGUUAGCAAAGCCAAUUUGAGGCACAUUCAUCAAGCCUUGAAAUCAUGGAGGCCCCAUCACAUGGCUUUCCUUCUAGCCAGCCCAAGAGGAUCCUAGAAUUGAAGGCUAAGAACAGCUGAAUCCUGACAGAAAUCAGAUGAUUGGAAAUUUUAAUAAAAAUGUUUGAAGUGGUAAAAGAAAAUGCCAGCCCAAGUAGCUGAGAUAAAAGGAUGAUUUUUUGCCUUCCCCUUUCCUGGGCUAGGGUGCACCCAUGAUGGCAAUUGCUCUUGGUCUCCACCUGCAGAUUUAGUCAUGCCCAAGCUUCUAUGCCCAGGUAUUAAGUCAAUUUCCCAGACCUGAGAUCAGGUGACUCUGUGACAGUUAAGAGUUGCCUGUACCGAGUCUCAAAUCUUGGCUGCCUGCAAUUGAGGGGCCCAUAUUGAUUUCAUUGGGAAGCAUCCAACCUUCCUGGUACAUGGUUUGACCCUUGCAGAGGUUGGGCAUCCUAAAUUCUGACUGGUCAGUUUCUUUUUCCAGGCCUCCAGCCUCAAAAAAGCACAAUUUCUGUGGCCACUGGGCUGACCCACUCCAUGGAUGUGUGGUGUCACACCCAGGGCCCAUCUGUACAGCCUUGUCUGUUUCCUCUGGGCCUUCCCAGGCAGAGGGUAUCAGGCCAAGACAUGGCCUUGUCCUCCUCCUACCUGCCCGAAACUAUUUUGGGGAUGACCCUGAGGCAGUAUAUAGCAUGAUGGUUUAGAGAGUGGUGCUUCUCAAACUGUGUAUGGUGAACAACCUGUGUUUUUACUUCCAGUCUGUUACAGAAUAAAAUGUGGGCUCCCUGUAUAUAUCUAGCAUGUAUCUUAUACCUCAUGUGACUCACAAUGCAAGUCUGACAGCCCUGAGCUCAACUAUUCAGUGACAUAUGCCCACUGAUCAUGCACUUGGAUGUCACGGCAAUGUCAAAUUAUAGAAGAUUCCCGCUGCUUCCUUUCAGUUUCUGUACUUUUCUUGUCACAGACUGGUAAUGAACAGUUCUCAUCUGCAGUUGGCACUUUGAGUAACAUUUAUUUACAACAACCUUUCUUAAAAUGUGGUCCUUGGACCAGCAACAUCAGCAUGACCCAGGAACUUGCUACAAAUGGAAAUUCUCAGGUUCCCUCCUGGACCUCAGGAAUCAGAAACUGGGGACAGAACCCACAAAUCUGGACUUUUACCAGCCCUCUGGUUGGUUGUGAGGAUGUCACACAGCUGGACAGGAAAAAAGAGCUAACAACAACAGGUACGUUCGGAGAUUUCUUCUAUUAGAGCUGUAAGUUUCAUUCGAAGAAAAUGAUGAGGUCUGUCUCAGUGACUACCGAACUCAAUUUUUUUUAAGCUUUGGAAUCUCUUGGUUCUUAAGUUAAUAAGCAGUGCAUUCCACAGAAAUAUAUUCUCAUCUUAACAUUGGAUUUCCAACGUUAAUCUUUAAUAGAUUUAAGAAUGAGUGAUCUCUUCCAUUUUACGGCUUCUCCUCACCCCCCCCCCCCCCAUCUUUUGCAUCAGUUCUAGAAACUCUUCGAUAGCACACACACAGAAAUGCUGAGAAGGAAGGAGCAUAAGGGAGGGGCGACAAGACUCCCUGAGUGCAAGGAUCGUGGAGCCCCUGUCCAUGCGUCCCCAGUACCUGGUUUGUUGUAGAGGCUCAGUCGAUCUUAAUGGAAUGGAUAAAUCGAUGAAUGGACAAAUGGAAAAACAAAAUUUGAUAGGCUAGAACUUUGUGAAAGGAUGUUCUGAUUAACUGACUUUCUGAUUAAUUGGCAAAUCUUUCACUUCCCUGAAAACGUACAUUUUGUUUUUCAACUAGUUUGAGUGAAGUUUUAUUCAUUGCAAACCAAAGGUCGCCUGCCUAAAAGACAGCUCCGUUCAAGUGUAAUACAUUCAAAUUACAUCUCUUCUAAGGGACGUGUUGCCCAGGUGUCUCAGGUCAAUAUAAAAUAAAGAAUUUCAUUUUGGGGAAUUUUAUUAUUGAAAAUGAAUUUUAUUGAAAACCACAGUCCGAGAAAAGCAGAUAAAAGGAUUAUAGCCCAUGAAGCAUGGUAAACAUAUGCUACUAUUUUGGGUGAAAUAUAUUUAUUUUCACGAUUAAUACUUAAAUUAAGCACACCCACAUUUGGCAUUGCCAUGAGCAUAAUUGGUAAAAAUUGUUCUAACGAGAAGCUCAGAAUUGUUCAGGCAGGACUUACCAAACGGAAAGAGAAAAAUUAAGCAAAGGAAAAUCAUAUCGUGUAAAAACAAAUGAGAGAAAAGUGCAAAACAUCCAACAAUUAGUUGGUGUACACAGGGCCAAGCCGUGGGGAUGAUGCGUUCACAGAUAUUGACUGAUCCUCUGUCUGAAACUUCACUGGCACAACGCGAAGACACCCGGUCAGUUUGAACUGUUCAAUCCUAAACUGACUGAAUUGACCAGUCAUUCGGAAUGCCUCGAGAAUCUGUCUAUAAUGUGUCUGUUUUGCAUACGGUGCCUCUCCUGCUUUAAGAGCAUCUUCACACCAGAGACUCCCCGACUUAACGGACAAUAAAUGCUUGGUGGCAAAACACAAAGGUAAGGAGACCUACAAGCACCAACAAGAAAGUUCCGGUUUCUGGAGCUCUUUUGUGAUCCUCGUCAUCCCAUCCUGGAGAAAUCGAGGAUCUUUUCCAAAACAAAAACGUUGAAGGGUGAUCUGAGUUCAAAUCUUAACUUGCCCUUUUUAGACUUACUGUUGCCCUCUGUGAGAUGGGAAUAGUAAUAAUAAGCCUUUUUAUUUCUGCUUUGUUUUGUUUUCUGAAGGCUUACAUAAACUAGUGCACGUGGAACACUUAUUGUCCCGCCUGGCUAUUCGUAUUAGUUACUCCUCAUCAAGCAUUAAGCAUAGAGUCUUGAGUUUGCCCCACGAUAGCUCCCUGGGAUUAGCUAUUUGAGUUAACACCCAAAGUCAGAGAUUAGAUGACUCAUGGCAAACUCUUCACUCCAGGGCUGAGUCUGCAUCACACUUCAUGAGCUGGUUGUGAAGGACAUGAUGCUUUUCCCACCCAAAAACAUAUCAUCUCUGGAAAUAUUCCAGUUGAUGACCAUGAAGCAAUAGUAGCAAAAACAGUAUUGGGCUCUGCAAAGAGCGACAAACUAAAGAGAAUUCCAAACUCAUGCCUGCCAAGUUUUCCCUUAUUUGGAAGUAGCCCAUGUGAAAUUCUAGAACUCUCCACAGGUCACUCACAGUCUGUCCAUUAGCUUUCCUGUUUGCUGUCUUCUUGUCUACUUACAUCAACUCCUCUUAAUAUUUAAGAACUUUUCAGGAAAUUCAGUUUUAGAAAGACAGCAAAGGAGCUUUGAAUUGGCAAAAGCUUCACAUUUCAGAGGUGAUACUAAUCUAAAGAAACACACUAUUAUCUUAGUAAUUUCCAAUUGUUCCUGGAAGCAUUUUACUGCAGAGACCACUGCCAGCUAUUAAGUAGAGGAGACUCGUUUUGGUUGCCAGAAUUAGCUGAAAUUAAGAUCCUUUGACAUCUUCUUACAGAAAAAAGUCAGUUUCAGUACAAACAAUUCGGAAUUUAAUAGAUUGUGACAGGUUAUAAAAUCCUAUGCAUUUGAAAGAAAAGCUUUGCUGGUGGAAUAAUGUGUUUCUAAUUUACACAUAAUAGGCCCAUGAAGCUAUGACUAGAAGGACAUUAAAGUAAUGAGGAAAUUCCAGUUAUAGACACUUUCUGUAGAGAUCUUAAAGAUUAUGAUUAGGGCAGUCAUUUUCCCAAGUGCCGCGUAGAGCUCAAGCCAAAAUGAAGGUGGCCAGGACAAAGAAAGAAGACUGGAAAGGCAAUGAGCCUCAGUGUCGAGGGUAGGGAAAGCAUUUGGGGGAUAGAUGCUCAACCCAGAGGUGGAGGAUUGUGUUAAACUUAAUAAAUGCUGCGAGUACUGAAUACCGACAAAGGCCUAGCGCUGGAUGCUUGUUGCUGAAUGAGGAGGAAUCAACAACGACGUGAGCCAUAAGAAGGGCCAAGAGAUUUUUGUGGAUAAAACUCUUUACAAUAAAAAAGAAUUCUACUUUCCUGCGAUUCUUUGUCCCGAGAGUCGUCCAGUCCACCCCACGGAUGACUAGCAUGACAUAAAAUGGAUCCCUUAAAUACCUUCCUUAUUUGAAGUCUCAAUGCUACUAUAUAAUUUAAAAUGCAUACUAAAUGGCAAA